CAGUCGCCACGGUAAUACGAAGGGUGCAAGCGUUACUCGGAAUUACUGGGCGUAAAGCGUGCGUAGGUGGUGGUUUAAGUCCGUUGUGAAAGCCCUGGGCUCAACCUGGGAAUUGCAGUGGAUACUGGGUCACUAGAGUGUGGUAGAGGAUAGUGGAAUUUCCGGUGUAGCAGUGAAAUGCGUAGAGAUCGGAAGGAACAUCUGUGGCGAAGGCGACUAUCUGGGCCAACACUGACACUGAGACACGAAAGCGUGGGGAGCAAACAGGAUUAGAUACCCGUGUAGUCCCUGUCUCUUAUAC
rnacentral:rRNA from 1 species